AACCUACCUUCGAGUGGGGGAUAACUAGCCGAAAGGUUAGCUAAUACCGCAUGAAACGUGCCGGGGCAUCCCGGAACGUUAAAAUGAGCAAUCAGCUUGAAGACGGGACCGCGUCCCAUUAGUUAGUUGGUGGGGUAACGGCCUACCAAGACUCCGAUGGGUAGCUGGUUUGAGAGAGCGACCAGCCACACUGGGACUGAGAAACGGCCCAGACUCCUACGGGAGGCAGCAGUGAGGAAUUUUCCGCAAUGGGCGCAAGCCUGACGGAGCGACGCCGCGUGUGG
rnacentral:rRNA from 1 species